GCUUCCACAGCUGGCCAGAUCGCUAUAGCGGGCUGUGGUGUGGUGCUGAAGUAGGUUAAUUUGUGUAUUUUCCCCUCAGAAGGGCUCUGGAGCACAGCAGGAGAAGCAGAGAGAAUCAGGCCAUUUAUCGCACUUCUGCUGGUGUUUUGGGAAAAAAAAAAAAAAAAAAAAAAAAAAACACCAAAUGUGUGCCUGCCAGAGCGAGGGGGCUGUGGAGAUAGGCGGAUGUUUCCUCAGGCACUGGGGACAUGGCUGUGGCAGAGACAGGCUGCUGGUAAAGGAGAGACCCUGCCCCUCGUCACCAGCCCUGCUGCGUGCCAGGAGGCGGCUGGUACAAGGGGUGCAUGGACUCACUCCAGCAUCUGCAAGCUGCAUCAAGAGCAGACGGCAGGCCUGGCAACACAUCUGCGUUGGGAUAUGCACAGCAGCUGUAUGCAGCCAUCAGCAAGGUCCUGGUGCAGGUGGAAAGGAUCUCCUGGUCUCUGAGGUCAUUAAAUGGUCCAGGAGCCGUAGAAGAAAACAAAGGCAUUAAAGGUAGAGAGAGCCUGGUGUGAUGGAGAUGUGAGGUUUGUGCUGGUAGCUAGAGGCCUUGAAUAAGCACCGAGGUGCCCUCCCACAAAGCCUUGACUGAGGCAGUGUGUGCAGCACGCUCCGUGGAACUGCAGCACAUAUGCGUUUUCCUGCAAAAGCGUGUCUCCCUCUGUCAGCAAGAGGGGAGGCUGAAUCUCUCAGCGCAGUGCUGAACUUGUGGCAGCACGGAAUAUUUCAAGCUCCAGCUGCUGCUGCACAGACAAUAAAUUGGGGCUGGGGAAAUGGGGUAGAGCA
rnacentral:lncRNA from 1 species